AAUGCCCCUAAAGGCAUUGCAGGUGUGGCUUCUGUGUCACAUGUGUGUCAGUAGGUGGCAGAGAGAAGAGAGGCCAUGUCUAUGUUCAGUGUUCCCACCUAUGAACAUCUGAAUGAUUAAUAGACUAACAUU